GGCCCAGUGGCCUAAUGGAUAAUGCAUCAGCGUUCAAAGCUGGGAAUUGUGGGUUCAAGACCCAUUUGGGUUG
rfam:Danio rerio chromosome 4, GRCz11 reference primary assembly.